GAUGAACGCUAGCGAUAGGCUUAACACAUGCAAGUCGAGGGGCAGCAUGGUCUUAGCUUGCUAAGGCUGGUGGCGACCGGCGCACGGGUGCGUAACGCGUAUGCAACUUGCCUCACAGAGGGGGAUAACCCGUCGAAAGACGGACUAAUACCGCGUACACUCUAUGUUGGGCAUCCAAUGUAGAGGAAAUGAAAUUCGCUGUGAGAUAGGCAUGCGUCCCAUUAGCUAGUUGGUGAGGUAACGGCUCACCAAGGCGACGAUGGGUAGGGGAACUGAGAGGUUGAACCCCCACACUGGUACUGAGACACGGACCAGACUCCUACGGGAGGCAGCAGUGAGGAAUAUUGGUCAAUGGGCGAGAGCCUGAACCAGCCAAGUCGCGUGAAGGAUGACUGUCUUAUGGAUUGUAAACUUCUUUUAUACGGGAAUAACAAGAGUCACGUGUGGCUCCCUGCAUGUACCGUAUGAAUAAGCAUCGGCUAACUCCGUG
rnacentral:rRNA from 1 species